UGCGCAGCGCGUGCUUGAUGACGAUCUGGCGAAAGCUCACGCCCUUCAGGCGGGCGGUGCGAAUGUACUGCGCCGUCAUCACUUCGGCCAUCGAAGCGCGGGUCAUGCGUGCGAUAUAUCCCAUGCCAUAUGCAGCCAUGGUGAUCACGGGCAGGGUGAAAUUGUAGAAGGUGAUGU
rnacentral:ncRNA from 1 species